rnacentral:lncRNA from 1 species
UAGAAGUCAGGUCGGAUUAAGCCAUAGUACGGAAAAAACUAUGCUACCUGUGAGCCCCGUCCAAGGACGUUAAAAGAAGUCAGGCCAUCACAAAUGCCAUAGCUUGAGUAAACUAUGCUGCCUGUAGCUCCACCUGAGAAGGUGUAAAAAAUCUGGGAGGCCACAAACCAUGGAAGCUGUACGCAUGGCGUAGUGGACUAGCGGUUAGAGGAGACCCCUCCCUUAUAAAUCGCAGCAACAAUGGGGGCCCAAGGCGAGAUGAAGCUGUAAUCUCGCUGGAAGGACUAGAGGUUAGAGGAGACCCCCCCGAAACAAAAACAGCAUAUGACGC